rnacentral:rRNA from 1 species
UGGUUAGCGGCGGACGGGUGAGUAACACGUGGGCAACCUGCCUGUAAGACUGGGAUAACACCGGGAAACCGGUGCUAAUACCGGAUAAUCCUUUUCCUCUCAUGAGGAAAAGCUGAAAGUCGGUUUCGGCUGACACUUACAGAUGGGCCCGCGGCGCAUUAGCUAGUUGGUGAGGUAACGGCUCACCAAGGCGACGAUGCGUAGCCGACCUGAGAGGGUGAUCGGCCACACUGGGACUGAGACACGGCCCAGACUCCUACGGGAGGCAGCAGUAGGGAAUCUUCCACAAUGGACGAAAGUCUGAUGGAGCAACGCCGCGUGAGCGAUGAAGGCCUUCGGGUCGUAAA